rnacentral:rRNA from 1 species
UACGAAGGGGGCGAGCGUUGUUCGGAUUUACUGGGCGUAAAGGGCGCGUAGGCGGCUCAUUUUGUCAGGCGUGAAAGCCCCGGGCUUAACCUGGGAACUGCGUUUGAUACGGAUGGGCUAGAGUUCGGGAGAGGAGAGUGGAAUUCCCAGUGUAGAGGUGAAAUUCGUAGAUAUUGGGAAGAACACCGGUGGCGAAGGCGGCUCUCUGGACCGAGACUGACGCUGAGGCGCGAAAGCGUGGGGAGCAAACAGG